rnacentral:rRNA from 1 species
GACGUAGGGGGCAAGCGUUAUUCGGAAUUAUUGGGCGUAAAGCGCUCGUAGGCGGGACUGGAAGUCCGUGUUGAAAGACCUCGGCUCAACUGAGGGACCGGCUCGGAUACUCUAGUUCUUGAGGCAAUCAGAGGGUGAUGGAAUUCCCGGUGUAGCGGUGAAAAUGCGUAGAUAUCGGGGAGGAACACCAGUGGCGAAGGCGGCGAUCUGGGGAAGAUACUGACGCUGAGGUGCGAAAAGCGUGGGGGAGCAAACAGGG